UUCAGUCAGCUCCGAGCCGCGAGUGGGGUAAGUUGCGCCGCGCGCCGGCCCGCUGGCCCUUCGCAGAGCGAGGCAACGCUACGAUACUCCGCGCGCGCACCCCUCAUUCUCGUCCGCCGAUAAACGAGGCGUACAACCCCCGGACGAUCGGCGCAUUGUCCGCGCGUCGAUUCAACCGGCGUGGCGCGGCGCGCUCGCGUGAAAAACGGACGAGGUAUCCGUACGAGGAAGUGGAUGCAUCGUGACCAAGAGCGCGAUAUCGCGACCUUCUCCCUGCGAAAGUUGUUUUCGCAUCUAGUUCUCCUCUGGCAAGGGAGAAAUACGUCUCGACGCCGGGGGACUCUCGCCCCGCGACUUAUGACGGCCAGGGGGUGAAAACUGGACCGGUGGUGAAGCCACGCGUCGCCUCGCGUUCACGCGAGCGGGAAGGGCCUUCGUCAUGUUGAGGAGUGAGGGGAUGGCGCCGUGAUGUUACACCGAAGCGCUUCGUCGCGACGCCGACGAGCGUCGCCAAGCGUAGCAAACUCGAGCCAGCCGGCAGGAGCGCCCUCGACGAUGCGAGGUCGACGAGCGAGCGUUGCCACCGAGAAGCCCCUCGUCCUGCCAAGCAGCCCUGGCGGAACGAUGGAGAGGCAGCGAUCGCCGAGGGGUAGCGUAGUGCCGAAUAUCGCUUUGGAUACCGAAAGCGACUCCCCCGACGAGGGAGUCUGUCGCAGGAUCCUGCCGGAUCCCGAACAGUACGGCACCGGUCGGAACUCGUUGGUGCCCGAGGCCAGUCGUAGUCCACGUAAUUCUCUGAUACCUGACGAUUACUGCAGGAGCCCGCGAGGCUCCCUAAUACCGGAUUCCAACAGAAGCCCGCGCAAUAGUUUGGUGCCCGACGCGGCGCGGUCACCACGCGCCAGCCUCACUCCGGAAGUCUCCCUAAGUCCGCGUCACUCCCUGGUGCCGGAUUCGAUACUGAGCCCGAGGAAUUCCCUAGUGCCGGACGUAGCCUACAACCGAAGUCCUCGAAACAGCAUGGUGGUGGCCAGCGCCUCCAGGACUUCCUUGAUACCGGAGAACGGCAACGCAAUCAUCGCAAUCGCCAACCGCAGCCCCAGACACUCAUUGAUACCGGAUUCGUCGAGGAGUCCACGAGGCAGCAUGGCGAACCUAGACUUCGAUCGAAGCCCACGUGGCUCGAUCUGCCCGGAUGUGCACAGGACACCCAGGGGUAGCAUCACGCCUUUGGAGGUUGCAGACAGAAGUCCGCGCGGUUCGAUAGCCUCCGAGUGCCUGAAUCAGAGUCCUCGCGGUUCCAUCGUGCCCGAUCCCAACAGAUCGCCCAGAGGAUCGAUAGCACCUGAAUCGAAUAGGUCCCCGCGCGGUUCAAUAUGCCCAGAAAGCAACAGAAGUCCGAGGGGAUCGAUCGUACCGCACGAUCAGACGAAUAGAUCGCCACGAGGAAGCAUAGGUGUAAACGACGUCGAAAGACAUUCGAGAGGCUCGCUCGGAGCGAUCGAUGACGAAAAUAGGAGUCCCAGAGGAAGCAUUGGGCCUGACGGGAUAGACAGGAGUCCUAGGGGCAGCCUUGGAGGUCAUCAGGAUAGAAGAGCACCGAGGGGAAGUCUAAGUCUGCAGGAUCCUAGAAGAGCCUCCGCGGAUCAGGGGAGCACGAGAAACCGGAGUUCUUCGCCUUAUCGUCAAAGGGAAGUGAGCUCAGGAAGUGUCAGAUCGGGUGGAAGCGGCGGCGCACAGGUCAAUCUGGGAUACGGGACGAAUGCCUGGGUCGACUCCAGGCGAGCCAGCAGCUCCGUUUCGCAGCUCUCAGGCGACGAGUCGCGUCGACUCUGUGCUAGCGGCGUAAAGGCCCCUGAAAAGGGAGAUGCGGAAGCUGCGAAUCUCGGUGUGGCAACCUACGGCUCGGUCGUGUUUCAGCUGAAGGACGCUCAUCUCGAGGCGACCGGCAUCUGCGAUUUUGUCUUUCGCGCAUUGACAGUCAUCAGCAAAACGAUGACGUUCACCAUAUGUCUGACCUGUCUGUCCACUGUGCCUAUCUUGAUGUUCAUCUUUGGUGUGCAAUUCAUCAAGGAUUGUCCGAUAGAGCCAUACAUUCCCGUGUACAUGUUGAUUGGAGGAGCUCUGGGUGCCGUGCGUAUGAUCUGGGCGCUUUAUUCGCAAAUACGAUCCCGCAGGCCGGAAGUCCUGUCCGUUCCCGCUGCCAGAUCACACGUCUCGCCUAUGAAAUUACUCUCCAUAGCUUUAUCGUGCUUCCUGGUCGCGUGGUUCGCUUUAGGACAUUAUUGGAUACUGCACAUAAAGUGGCCGGAAUACGAACUCUCGUUGUACGCGCCAAAUAGAUGGUGCCACAAGACGCUCUAUAUUUUUUCUUUGGUGCAUCUAUGCGUGAUAUACGCGGUUUUAUUUGUGAUACUCAUGGUGGCGGUCGGUCUGGCUUUCUGCAGAAUUCUGGAAUGCCCUUUACCAGAAAGAUAUAGAGAGCGACAAUUCCAAUCAAGACUAGUUCUCCUAAAAAUUUUCAAAAUAGGAUAAUAGCGUAGACGUCAUACGAGCUUUUCCUUGGGAAAAUAUGAACGCGACUCAUUAUGAAAGUAACGCGCGGUGUUGACCCAGUUCCUCCGCGGAAUCGACGAUGGAAACUAUUUUACGACGGCGAGCGACGACGAUGAAACAAUUUUUUUUUAUCUUACCUGUCACCGCGUUUCAAUUUACGUAUAUUACAACACUCGAUAUAUUUGGAGGGCUGAGGGUUGCGCGGAUCGCAUAACGUGUGUGGAGUGUAUAUGAACGCGCACCCGAUCAAGUUUCUAUAGUCAACAGGCCGAAAUACCGCUCGGAGGCCGUGUUGCAUGUUCAACAUGAUAACGACGUGAUUACGACAUUCUCACCGAUUAUGAGGGAUACGUGAAAGACUUCGCAAAAAAAAACCGAAUAUAAUGUCAGUGUAUCGCGACUAAGUCAUUUAUAUUCCGCGCGCGCGAAUGACACACGCGAAAAAUGCCACAAAUGGCUUGACCUGUCGAAAUCACGUUAAUCUCCCCCGUCAUUGCCGGCAAAAAUGUAUAAUUCCCGAUUAUCGAUACGACUUCGAUAACACUUCCCACUCGAUCUAUGUCAGACCGUCGACAUUAAAAUAAGAUAAAGUAAACUUCACAUAUAUGUGUUAGGGCGGCGCGAACACCCGCGGUCGAUAUCACACUCACGCUCCAAAGUGCGUCCGUUCUGCUCGACUUUCAGAUACAAAUAACCACGGCGAUCUGUUCGCCAGAAUAAAAUCCGCGAGAAGAAGAAGAAGAAGUUGAGGGCCGGCGGUAUAAGUGGCGGCUGGCGUCUAGACAGACGCAAGGUCCUGGAGGAUUUAGAGGAGGAGGAGGAUGACGACGACGAGGAGCGGAGCGGUGAUACCGAUACGAACGGGGACAAUUUCGGUAACAAGAUCGUGCAGGAGGUAAAGUACUGCAGCAAAGUGCAGUUUCGCGCGCCGGAUAUCAUCGAGCUGUGAUGAAUGCAAGCGAUGCCGUAUGGAAAGGAAAAGGAGGUGCCUCGCUGUCGGCGACGGAGGAAUUCUGGGACCCGAGAGGAAACGUCGGCAGGUGCGACCCGUAAUCUCGAAAAGUUUCCCGCGAUAACGAGGAUGCCGGCCGCGGGGACGGAAUUCGCGAUGGGGGCGAAGCGGACGGGAAUGGCAAAGGGAGCACGGAUAACGAGGUCGCGAAAAGGAAAAUGCUGCCAGAGAUCGACAACGACGAUGACGACGAUGAUGACGGUGUAUCAUUUUCGUGAAUAAUCGAAGUCGACACGUGCGAGACUCUGGAACGGAGUCUUCGCAAUUUUCCGCAGAGGGAAAAUCUACGAGUCACUGGAACGCCGAGGAUCGGAGAUCGUGGGGAAAUUAACCGUCAGAGGAUAAAACGAAGACAAUGAAAUCUACGGGAGCGCGUAACUGCGACUUGAUUCCAAUUAAUGUCAUUUGUUUCAAUUAUUUCAUGGAACAUGGGAGAGAAGAUAAUGCAGUAAUUUAACGGCAAGCUCGAAGCAGCGUAUUACACGUGGGAAAAACGAAAAAUCUCCAGUCAACGACCAAUACUCUUCAAAUAUAAAUCAACGUGUUGGUAUUAAACUAGUUUUGUUCUCUUUUCAGUUUCGAGAAAAUGUCAGUGAUUCGAGAACUCGCAUAACUUCAUGGUGGAUUUAUAGCUGCACAUGUAUAGAAAAAGAAAUCUGCCGAAGAUAGCGACGAAAAGAAACAGAUUGAAACUUUUAUCUGCGAAAGAAGAUUACGCGAAGAUUGUCUGUAAGAAUGAUAUUGGAGGAAGUGGAGGAAGCUCGUCUUUGCUAGAACGCAGGAACAAGGAAUAUUUGUGAAAGAUUUUGUCCUUGAAGCGCCGUGGCUCGAGUGGUGUCUCAGCCGCGGCUUGACGAAGAAAUCGAUAUGGAGACCUCCACGUGGCUUUCGUAUCAAAACAAGGAUCUCUAAUUCGCUACUCCGUUUUUUUGCGCCAAUUAAACGCAGGAAUCGAAUUUUAAGUGCCACGUGAAUGGCCUGAUCGAAUUAGCAUAGCCAAGCAAUAUAUUCUCCUGCUGAAAAUGCUCGGGGUAUUCCGGGGUGCUUUAAUGCCGAACCGCCGCCAGUAAUUGCCGGAUUCGUAGCCAUCGAUCUUCCAUUUCAUUCGCCCGACAACGACGAAGCCUACUGAAGCCUCUCUCUUGUUUUUACCCAACUCGCAGCGAGCACACAAGCGAAAAACAAAGACUAUUUCCUCCUGUUCAUGCGUAUAACUUCGAAAAAUAGACGAGUAUUUCUAAACGAUAUUAUUCCACGAGAUUCCUCAACAGCUGGCAACCCGAGACUCGACUUUCAUUACCUCCCACGCGGUUCCGCCCCCGCGGGAAACGCGUCGCGUGACAAACCCUCUGACAAAUCCCGUUUUCCAGACCGCGCCAAGUUGAGGAAAAUCCUGCGGAAACCCUUGCAACUGCAGUUUUACCACGGUGUAACGUCUCUCGCGAAGAUGCGGUUCACCUAAGUGCGAAGAACUCGUGACUUCGUGCGGAAUGCCAUGUUACUCACUCCGAAGGAGCAGAAACUUCGCACGGGGAAGAGAAGACCGCCGCGAGGGAAUCACGAAACCGAGUAUCGGCUUAUCGAGCGACGACAAUGACGACGUGGACGACGACGACGACGACGACGACGACGACGACGACGACAACGUGUUCCUGCCGGCCAAUUCAGCGCGCAAAUCCGCUUCAUCAAAUCAAGUCUGGCGAAAGUAGUUACAGUGACUGCGGCAACUGCGUUCCUCUGUUCGUUCAGUGACGGAAGUGAUAUCGAGAUUCUUUGUCUCAGUUAAUCGAUAUUCUUUCUAGCGUGGGUGAUACUCGUCCGCGUGCGAAAAAUAUGGAAUUUAACGCCCGGCUCGCUAACGAGAAUACAGCUGCAAUUUGUCUCGACGUGUCAAAGUUUCCGAUCAUUUCUCGUUAUCUCCCGGUAAUAUCGACGUCGGCGGAAGUUGGUGCUAAACGAAAAAUCACAUCAGGCUGUUCGUUUUUAUGAUGACAACGGUGACGACAGCGGCUGCCCGCGGAAAUAUGGAAUUCCAUCUAAAUGUAAAUGGACGGGAGAGCUCUCAAAGGGAAGACCCGCGCAUCGCCGAAUCUGAGUCACGCCGAAAGUUUCCUUGCUGAAAUCCAUCAACAGUUGCGAUUGCCUAUACGCGGUGGAAUAUGCGUUGCGAACGAGUAACUUGGAAGGCGACUCAACAAAAGAUUAAUUAUUAAGAAGAUCGAUUCUUUUUGGAUCGCAUGGUGUCGACGAGUGCACGUAUGUAGUUACAAUCGAUUGUUUGUCGAGAACACAAUAAAAAGACCGACUUAACGCGCACCGUCUGGUAUGUGACCAGAAUUACGACUUUAAUCAUCCAUCUACAAUAAGAAACUACCAAUUUAUCACGAAACAGACAAUUUAGGAAGUAGUAUAAGGAAGAUGCAUGCAGAAGAGAAUUGGUACAGUGAAUUUUUCAUCAAAUUGGGAAAUUAUACAUUCUUCUCCUAAUUUUAUUAUAAUUCAUCGAGAUUCUUGUUUGAUAUGGAAAUAUGAAAAGUUUCUGAUUCUGAUUUUGACGGAGGAAAAUCUAUCAUAUUUCAUUCGCUUUGCGUUCUGAUUUUUGAUUCGGGAAUGUAUGUGACUUUUGGGAGAGACUGUGAAAACCGAUCGAUGACGAGUUGUGAACUGUGUGGACGCAGCUUGUACACUUUGUGCGCUUUCCCAGAGUCAAUCCGGCGGACCUGCUAUCGGCUUCUAUUGAUUUCAAAGUUCCUUUCCAUGCUCCGAUGCAUCCCAUCAUAUUUUAUAUCCUCAUCCGAUUUGUAUUUUUAUUCUCGAAGACAGCAUUUCUGUAGUUUUCCCGCUCGUAGUGCCAUAACUUUUCCUAUUUUACUAAAGCCGAAAAUUUCAAGUCUGCAUCGUAUUUCAUGUAUCGUCAAUGAUGACCAAGGAAGUUUGAUACAAUAUUCGAAAAAUAGCAUUAUGUGUCUUUGAGAAGCAUAGAUUUGAUUAACUCUCAUCUCGAUUUAUUGUAGCGACUGUAAUUUUAGUCAUAAAAUCAUGAAUUCAAAUACAGAGACAAAUCUUUUGUCUGUGA
rnacentral:misc_RNA from 1 species